rnacentral:rRNA from 1 species
GUACGGGAGGCAGCAGUGGGGAAUCUUGCACAAUGGGGGCAACCCUGAUGCAGCGACGCCGCGUGAGCGAUGAAGUCCUUCGGGGCGUAAAGCUCUUUCGGCAGGGAAGAUAAUGACGGUACCUGCAGAAGCAGCUGCGGCUAACUACGUGCCAGCAGCCGCGGUAAUACGUAGGCAGCGAGCGUUGUUCGGAGUUACUGGGCGUAAAGGGUGUGUAGGCGGUUGUUUAAGUUUGGUGUGAAAUCUCCCGGCUCAACCGGGAGGGUGCGCCGAAUACUGAAUGACUCGAGUGCGGGAGAGGAGAGUGGAAUUCCUGGUGUAGCGGUGAAAUGCGUAGAGAUCAGGAGGAACACCGGUGGUGUAGACGGCUCUCUGGACCGUAACUGACGCUGAGACACGAAAGCGUGGGUAGCAAACAGGAUUAGAUACCCCGGUAGU